rnacentral:rRNA from 1 species
UGGCGCUACCAUGCAGUCGAGCGAGAUCUUCGGAUCUAGCGGCGGACGGGUGAGUAACGCGUGGGAACGUACCCUCUUCUGCGGGAUAGCCACUGGAAACGGUGAGUAAUACCGCAUACGCCCUUCGGGGGAAAGAUUUAUCGGAGGAGGAUCGGCCCGCGUUGGAUUAGGUAGUUGGUGGGGUAAUGGCCUACCAAGCCUACGAUCCAUAGCUGGUUUUAGAGGAUGAUCAGCCACACUGGGACUGAGACACGGCCCAGACUCCUACGGGAGGCAGCAGUGGGGAAUCUUAGACAAUGGGCGCAAGCCUGAUCUAGCCAUGCCGCGUGAGUGACGAAGGCCUUAGGGUCGUAAAGCUCUUUCGCCUGUGAUGAUAAUGACAGUAGCAGGUAAAGAAACCCCGGCUAACUCCGUGCCAGCAGCCGCGGUAAUACGGAGGGGGUUAGCGUUGUUCGGAAUUACUGGGCGUAAAGCGCACGUAGGCGGAUUGGAAAGUAUGGGGUGAAAUCCCAGGGCUCAACCCUGGAACGGCCUCAUAAACUUCCAGUCUGGAGUUCGAGAGAGGUGAGUGGAAUUCCGAGUGUAGAGGUGAAAUUCGUAGAUAUUCGGAGGAACACCAGUGGCGAAGGCGGCUCACUGGCUCGAUACUGACGCUGAGGUGCGAAAGUGUGGGGAGCAAACAGGAUUAGAUACCCUGGUAGUCCA